rnacentral:misc_RNA from 1 species
CUUCAUUUUUACUUUUCCUCGGCCCUCUUCUCUCUUGUUUCAAUGACGGUCUUUACAAAGCCCACCUUGUUUCAAUGAGAAAACCACCUCUGCUUUUCUAUAACUGUGUCUAUAACUGUGUCUAUACUCUUCUUUCCAAGGAAAAUGAAGAGAGUGCAACUACUCUUUCUAGUCUUUGUGAUCAGUCUUAGUCUAAGAAACGGAUAACAAAGAAGAAAAUUUUUCUUCUUU